GAAAGCAGUGCCUGCUGGACUCGAGACAGUGGAGAGCCUGCCACCAACACAGGACUGUCUCAAUUCUCAACAUUGUCGCUUGAUGAUGGAGCAGCCUCAGCUAUAAUUCCUGGAGGAUGGGCGCCCCACAGGUGCACACCUGCAAGUAUUCUUGACGGAUGCGGUGGGUGACGGAGUUAUCCUUGACUGACACCCUGAUCUGCCCCGCCCUGCCCUGCCCUGCCCUGCCCAUCAUGUUGAACGUGUGUGCAACUAAUACAUCUCAGGUCAUGAGCAGAGAAUGUUAAGGAGCAGCAGUGGCUCCUGAAUAAUUCCACCAUCACCUCCUGGAUACAGAAAUACAACUUCUCAAGCAGUCCUACCUGCCAUCGUGCGGUGUCUGUCCUGCCUGAGAUACUUGAUGGUGUUGACGAAAAAUGCACACUCAUGACGUGUUUGUUCGAAUUGCUGCUCUUGCAUUAUAAAGGCAACGAAGAAAAUGUGCGGAACAUACCAUGCAAAUUAGUGCUUUCCUCGGAGAACUAGUGCGUAGAGCAUCAGGGAAAACACGGGUGGUAUCGUAGACAAGAUUUUAUGAAAGUUGAUGAUAAGGAAUUAUGUCAGGGGCUUCUCAUACACUGUACUGAAGGAAGGUCGUGUACAUAGCGGCCACUGUUAGAUAAUCCACAAAACGAGGAUCAGUGGUCGUGAAUUCUCAAAUGUUUCUUUGUCUUAUCUCGACUUUGUUCUAACAGACUCUGUAGAUAUUGCUGGUGUUUUCAAGAACAUUUUCAUGACUAGUGAUAGUUUAACAAGAUAUCGGUGUAUUACCAAUGGAGAAAACACCAAUGACAAGGUGGCCAGUCAUCUCUGUGGCCAUUGAAAAUAGUCCUUGUGAGAACCAAAGGCAUUGCAAAAUACGGAUCCAGACUAAAAACUCGGUGUUAUCUCGAUGCGUUAGUCUGUAACCCUCUCUCUUUAAACCAUUCAAUACCAUGACGCGUUUACAUAUUCAUUCUGCUUACUAUUUAGUGAUUUUAUACAGCUUCAGAAACUUGUGUGGGAAUUAAAAUAGUGAAGACUC